GUUUCCUUCCUCAAAAUGUAUACUAAAAUUAGAAUCAUACAGAGAAAAUUAGCAUGCCCCCUGCGAAAGGAUGACACACAAAUUCGUGAACCUUUCUGUAAUUUU